rnacentral:rRNA from 1 species
UUCAUGGAGAGUUUGAUCCUGGCUCAGGACGAACGCUGGCGGCGUGCCUAAUACAUGCAAGUCGAGCGGACAGAUGGGAGCUUGCUCCCUGAUGUCAGCGGCGGACGGGUGAGUAACACGUGGGUAACCUGCCUGUAAGACUGGGAUAA